UUUGGAGAAGACAAAUUUCAAGUAUGGUUCAAGAUUUACAUUCUUGGUAAUAGAUUUAUUGGUUUCUUGAUAACCUUCACACUCCAUGCUGUUUAGCAGUCCAGGGCCAGCCAUCAUAACUACACAAUAUGCAAGGUUUUCUUGUGCAGGUGUUAAUCUGUCCUCAGCAACAAUCUCAGGAUCAUCGCUUGGAUACACAGCAUCCCAUGGCAUUGGAAAAACUACCGAUGUCGAUCGAGUUACGGAUCUCUUCUUCCCCCCUUUCUUAAAUUGUUCUCGUGUACGCCCAUGUGAAUGUGGGUGUAUUCACGAGGACACCCUUUUUACCCUAUCCCGCCUGAU